UCUUCUGCCACGGUGCAGUCUUUCCUGGCUCGGUCAGAGUGGAAGGCUGGCAGCGUCCCAGCGUGCAGGAGGGGGUCACGAGCGCUACCAAGUGGAACCUCAGCCCGCAACGGAAUAUUUUCUCGGAACGGAUUCCACGAUCGAGACCACAGUUGUUGCGCACCCCAUCCUUUACUCUGUCUAUCUCUUCCUCCUCUGCCUGCUUCCUCCACCUCCAGUCUUCUGGAGCACCAAAGCCACCACGCGAGGCCCCACCAUCCUCACGGAGAUGAGCCCGACGGACCGGAUCCAGCCUCCUCCACCGGGAGCGGCGACAACCUCCACCGGGAGCGGCGACGUGCUCCUUCUCCUCGUCUGUCACCUCCGUCGAGAGCCGCGUGACUGUCGGCUUCGAGGGCGCGGUUGCAGCCCAUCCAUGGUGUUCGUCUAGUCCCUUGCGACGGACACCACCAAGUCGGCGAGCGUGGGAUCCACAAGACACCAUGGACUCCCCGUCACAGUCCUGGUGGACCGAUGGAUGAGGCAGCUAGCCCGAGGCGAGCUGGACGAUGUUCCACCAUGGUGUAGACAGCCAACACGCGUGUAGACAGCGCCGUUUCACCAUGGUGUUCGUCGCCGCCGUCAAUGGCCUUCGGCCUCGAUCUGCAUGUUGGCCGGAUACGGCGUGGUGGGGAGGAGGUGAGCUGGUCGUGGUGGGGAGGAGGAGCAGCUGUGGCAAGGAGAGAUUGCCACUGGGAAUGCAAACCGCAAUGGAAUCCAUCCGCAUCGACGUUGUUGAAAUAGAAGUUGGCCCUGAGACAAAAGCACAUCCACGGACCAUGGCGAAAUUUUGCAGACGCUAAACCAGGAGAGUUAUAGCUUUUUUUGUCUAAACUUCUCUCUUUUAUGUUCACGAGCCUGGAUGCUAAAUUGUAGAUCUAAUUGUUUUUGUUUUUUCAGAACGCUUACAUCUAAUUGUUUGUACAGGACUUUGCAACUCACCUAACCGAACUUUGAUAUUUACAAUAUUCGAAAACACUUUUAACUUCUGAAA